rnacentral:tRNA from 1 species
GUUGGUAUCGUCUAGUGGACAAGGAUAUCGCCCUCUCACGGCGAAGACACGGGUUCGAGUCCCGUUACCAAUA